AAAGUAGAGAAAGUGGAAGAGGAAAGAGUUACCCCAGCGAGAACCGGGAACCGGGCUGCAGACUCUCCGGCCCGGGGGAGGGAUGAGUUUCACUCUGGUUGCCCAGGCUGGAGUGCAAUGGCGCGAUCUCGGCUCACCGCAACCUCUGCCUCCCGGAUUCAAGCGAUUCUCCUGCUUCAGCCUCCCGAGUAGCUGGGAUUACAGUUAAUACAUUUCUAAACAGAUAUGCAGGGGAUAAAAAUGGCAGUCACUUCAUGAGUUGUGAAGAUUAAAUGAGAAAAUGUGUGCACAGUGCAACGUCCAGGCAUUUAGCCAAUGAUGGCCUAUAUGUUGAUGCUGCUAAAGAAGGGAAAACCUGCCAUCCCUUUGGUGAGUCGCCAGAUGAAGCACAGAGGGUGGGAGGCUGGGUGGGACGGAUCCUACCUCGAUCACUGAAGUCGUCGACCAGUACAAUCUCGGCGACCAGCUCUGGAGGCGAGCGAUUGAGCACACUGUGGACGGGGAUGAUGAUGCUUGUGUUGGGAAGUGUCUCCAGGUAGCGCUUGCUGUUGC
rnacentral:lncRNA from 1 species